CUACGGGGUGCAGCAGUGGGGAAUAUUGGACAAUGGGGGAAACCCUGAUCCAGCAAUGCCGCGUGUGUGAAGAAGGCCUGCGGGUUGUAAAGCACUUUCGGUUGGGAGGACUGCUUCUAGCACUAAUAUUGUUGGAAGUUGACGUUACCUUCAGAAGAAGCACCGGCUAACUCCGUGCCAGCAGGCCGCGGUAAUACGGAGGGUGCAAGCGUUAAUCGGAAUUACUGGGCGUAAAGCGCGCGUAGGCGGCUAGAUCAGUCGGGUGUGAAAGCCCCGGGCUUAACCUGGGAACUGCAUCCGAUACUGGCUAGCUUGAGUACAGAAGAGGAGAGUGGAAUUCCACAUGUAGCGGUGAAAUGCGUAGAUAUGUGGAGGAACACCAAUGGCGAAGGCAGCUCUCUGGCCUGAUACUGACGCUGAGGUGCGAAAGCGUGGGGAGCAAACAGGAUUAGAUACCCGAGUAGUC
rnacentral:rRNA from 1 species